GACAAGGAUACCUUCAGCCAGCUCAUUCUGGAUGAAUGAAUGAUUACACUAAGUGUCCUCCACAUUCCUCUGUGGGUAAGUUUGAGGCACUUGUAUAUCCAGGGCUCCAGAGCUCAGUAGAUUAUUACAAAAGCACUUUAAUUGGAUAUGCUGGAUGGUCCACUCAGUGUGGAAAAUGGGUAUGCCAGGCCUCUCUGGGACCUUAGGUGGAGAGGAUGCAGCCUGGGAAGCUUUAGUUUCCGUCCUUUUAUGUGCCACAUACUGAUAGAGCACACACUUAAACUCCAGACCGAAUAGGACCUCCUGCUUGAGAACGCAGAGAGCAUAUAAUUUCUAAUUGCAGUUGUAAGAUCAGGUAAGCUCAGGGGACGUGGAUUUUAGGAAGCCACUGAGGAAAGGUCAGAUUCCAACUGUGACCUUAAGGCUGUUUCAUUCCGACUGAGGUGUUUUACUAAUUGGAUGUGUUGGUGUCGCAGGUUAAGUACUAAAGCAGGAAAGCUGAACAGUUCCCCAGCGGCGUUUGAAAUGGUGGCAGGUAGUUCCCCGGACUGUUU
rnacentral:lncRNA from 1 species